GUCAUCCCAGAUCCUAGAUGCCAAAGAGCAGUAAAAAGGGUGGCUCAUUUUAGCGUCUACGAUGCAGAACGGUACAUUCAUCCCCACAAAAAUGCAUUCAGUAGGGAAUUUCCCCAAAAUUGGACCCCGCCAAAGAAAUACAAAUGCCCCUAUAAGUCAACUUCAGGAUGCUCAAUAUCCUGAAGUACCCUUCUUUUCAUAGUUGAUCUGCCUCUCCCCUGCCUCCUAAAAAGAGUGAAAGACAAAAAUAGGAACAGAGUAGAAAACUAGCAAAUGUGGUAGAAAACUAUGUCAGUAACCACUUCAAAUAAUAUUCUAAGUAACUGGGUUAAAAAAACAAGACCCAACUAUAUGUUGUCUUUAUUAUUUAAAAUGGGUUUCCUGUAGACAUAGUAGAAGUAAAGGUGUACAGGAAGAUACCAUAGUAACACUAAUCAAAGGGUAACUAUUUCAAACAAAGCAGACAAGAGCAAGGAAAAUUAUCAAGGACAAAGGCACUGCAUAAUGAUAAAGGGGUCAGUUCUCCAAGAAGAUAGGCCUAAUGUGUAUGCACCUAACAGCAAAGCAUCAAAUAUAUGAGGCAAAAACAACCAUAAGGAGAAGGAGACAAAUUACUAUUCAGGUCAAUAGACAGUUGAACAGUGCCAUCAAUGACUGGAUCUCGUUGACAGUUAUACUUCCGCCUAACAGCAGCAAAAUACACACAUUCCUAAGGCUUACAUGGAACAUUCACCAAGAUGGACUACAUUCUGGGCCACUAAACAUACCUUAAAUUUAAAAGAAUAGAAAUCAUCCUACGAAUGCUCUCAGACUACCGUAGAAUUAAUCUAGAAAAGUCAACAGAAAGAUAGCUGGAAAGUCCCAAAGUACUUGGAGAUGAAACAACACACGUUUUUGGUUUUGGCCAUGCCGUGUGCUGUGGAGGAUCUUGGUUGCCCGACCAUGCCCCCUGAUUUGGGAGCACAGAGUCUUAACCACUAGACCAACAGGGAAGUUCCAAGCGAUACACUGCUAAAUGACACGUAGAUCAAAGGAGUCUCAAGAAAAAUAUUUUUGAGCUAAAGGAAAAUAUAACUUCAAAAUUCGUGGGAUGCAGCAAAAGCAGUCCUUAGAGGGACAUUUAUAGCAUUAAAUGCAUCUAUUUAAAAAGGAGCUGAAAUCAGUAAGCCGCUUCAGGGAACUAGAAAAAGCAAAUUAGGUCUAAAGGAAGCAGAAGGAAAGAAAUAUUCGAGCAGAAAUCAAUGAAAUUAAAAGCAAGAAAUCAACAAAAGAAAAACUGAGUCCUUGAGAAAAUUGAUAAAACUUCUAGGCUAACCCAUAAAAAAACAGAAAACAUGAUUACUAAUAUCAGAAACAGGAAUUUAGAUCAAGGUGGUAGAAUAGGAGGACAUUCUAAGAGCUCACCUCCCCCCAUGAACACAUCAAAAUUCCACCUACAUGUGAACAGUGCUCACAGAACCACUCACCAAAAACUAGCUGAAGAACUCCUGUACAGCCGAAGGUGCAAGAAAGAUUUCCAUGUAACCAAGUAGGACAGACAGAAGGCGGGUCGGGACCUCCAGCCUUGGGGAGGGUCUGAAAGAAA
ensembl:lncRNA